rnacentral:rRNA from 1 species
UACGGAGGGUGCAAGCAUUAAUCGGCAUUAUUGGGCGUCACGGGCGCGUAGGCGGAUGUAUAAGUCAGAUGUGAAAUUCCGGACCUCAAUUCCGGAGCUGCAUUUGAAACUGUAUAUCUGGAGGGAUGGCGGAGAAAACGGAAUUCCACGUGUAGCGGUGAAAUGCGUAGAUAUGUGGAAGAACACCUGUGGCGAAAGCGGUUUUCUAGCUAUAACCUGACGCUGAGGCGCGAGAGCAAGGGGAGCAAACAGG